UAGAGUUUGAAAGGCAUCUGAUUUCACUGCCAUGUCUUUGAACAGCAGUGCACAGUGCAGUCUUCUUCGUGGCUGAACAGCCACUCGAUGUCUUUUGAUUGGAGAGUUUAAUCAAACAGAAGGAGUCUUCCAUUGUGGCCACCACAGCUGGGAAUGAGCUAAGGUCUUGCUAUGUUGCCUAGACUGGUUUUGAACUCCUGGGCUGAAGCAAUCCUCCCACUUCGGCCUCUCAAAGUGCUGGGAUAUCAGACAUGAGCCACCUGCCAUGCUUGGCCUAUGCUAGUCAAGUGGAGCAGUGGGAGUGAAGAUGGAAUAAAGAAAUCCAUAACUGGUUGUGAUUAAGUAGUUGUAAACACCAACUGCACUCAGACCAACCCAUAUAUAUAUUUUUAAUUGUAAGCAUAGUAUAUAUAAAACUUCAAUUCCUGCUUUUUUUUACCUAACAUUAUAUCAUAUGCAUUUUCCAUACUGUUUCACAAUUCCUUGUAUUCGUAAUUGUUUAAUCCUGCAAAAUAAUGCUUCGAAUGAACAUAUGAUCAUUUCCUUAAGUAUUCCCC
rnacentral:lncRNA from 1 species